rnacentral:lncRNA from 1 species
CUGGAUUAUGGCAGGGAUUUGAUUUUGUAAUAAUCUCUCAGGAGAACUGUCCAAACAGCUGUGAAGGCAAGACAGAGCGACCAGGGGCAAUCGUAUUCUUUAAAGCACAGCAAGAGAGACUGAAGCUGAUCAAAAUGAAUCUUUUCUGCUUUUCGCUGGAGGGAUCUACGGAUAGCUUAUAUGAACCAACCUCAGGGCAGCAAGCUAACCAAGAAAGCAGCCGUGGAGGAGCCAGCUGUCCUGUCUCACCCACUGAGGACAGGGCACAAAUACACCACAAUCUCUUCAUGGAAGUUUCUAAUUCUGACAAUGAAGAACCAAAAAAGAGAAAGACAUUCCGGAGAUGUACAUCUGAAAAUAAAAUAUUUGAAGGAAAAACUGUGAAUGACACAAUCUGGCAGGAACCCAGCAAGGCUGAGAAUAAUUCCCACAUCAGAAGGCCCUGUCAGCUAAAAGAUCUAAAUGAAGAUGGCUUUAUUUUGAACACUCACAUGAAUACCUUUCAAGAAAAAGAACAAGGGACUUCUUAUCAGUGCUAAAGAGAGUGGGUAACCUCUGAAGGUUGUUGUCCAUCUUGCUGUCAAAAACUUGUUAAGCCUGUUGCUCAUGAAAUAGUGAGACAUGUUAUUAAAGAUAUUAUUUUAAUGAGUUUUGCUUUCUA